GAUGAAGAACGCAGCGAAAUGCGAUAAGUAAUGUGAAUUGCAGAAUUCAGUGAAUCAUCGAAUCUUUGAACUCACAUUGCGCCCGCCAGUAUUCUGGCGGGCAUGCCUGUUCGAGCGUCAUUUCAACCAUCAAGCCCUGCUUGCGUUGGGGUCCUGCGGCUGCCCGCAGGCCCUGAAAACCAGUGGCGGGCUCGCUAGUCACACCGAGCGCAGUAAUACAUCUCGCUUUGGGCGUGCGGCGGGUUCUUGCCGUUAAACACCCCCUUUUUACCAAGGUUGACCUCGGAUCAGGUAGGAAUACCCGCUGAACUUAAGCAUAUCAAUAAGCGGAGGA
rnacentral:misc_RNA from 1 species